rnacentral:rRNA from 1 species
AUGUCCUACGGGGGGCAGCAGUGGGGAAUAUUGGGCAAUGGGCGCAAGCCUGACCCAGCAACGCCGCGUGAAGGAAGAAGGCUUUCGGGUUGUAAACUUCUUUUGACAGGGAAGAGUAGAAGACGGUACCUGUCGAAUAAGCCACGGCUAACUACGUGCCAGCAGCCGCGGUAAUACGUAGGUGGCAAGCGUUGUCCGGAUUUACUGGGUGUAAAGGGCGUGUAGGCGGGAAUGCAAGUCAGAUGUGAAAACUAUGGGCUCAACCCAUAGCCUGCAUUUGAAACUGUAUUUCUUGAGUGCUGGAG